GGAAACGCUGUCACCUCGCAACGCAGUCACGUUAGGAGCUAUUGUUACCAAUCUCUUAAGUACAUCAAACAAAUUCCUGGGCUGGUGGAGCUGGUAUCAAUGAACUGUCUUUCCAGAAGGUGCCUAAAGAUAGGCUGGUGAUACCUGUAGAGAGAUACGUGAUCGUCCGGACGAAUCUCUGAUGUGCUCACUGCGGAGGCUUCACUUUCCUGAAUCGCUUUCACAGUUUUGCCCACUCGAAGUUAAUAUUUUCUUUGCCUCAAAGACUUCCUGCUUCAUUAAUGGCUUGUUAAAUGCCUUAUUAAUUUAUCAAAGAAACUUUGGAUGAAAAGAAACUACUUAAAGAGCCUCAUGUUUUAUGUAACGUCCAUGAAAGUUCUUCAUGGGCUGCUCUUCACUCUGUUGAGGGUUCUUGCCUUGUUUGAACGUGCUCAGCCAUUUUAGAAACAACCUCCCAGGCUUCUUUCUUCGAGUUUGCAGCUGAGAAUGAAAACAAGAGACUCUUCUCUUGGUGGGAACCAACAGAAACACUGGGAUUAGAAACCCAUUUCGUAUUUUCAGCCCUCACCCAGUGCCAGCUGGAAGCCAAAGAACCUGUGAACCAGUGAACAGAGAUCCCAGUGAGCAGCUGGAGUCUCCCUCCUGUCUGGACCCCUGUGACUGUGGCAGCUUGAGCCAAACUCCUUGGAGACCACAGUUUUACAAACUAAAUUAAUCUACAGUUUCUCAUCGGUUGUGCUCAGAGUAGCUCACAAGGGAAGUCAUCUCAGUUCUUGCUGGUAUUGUCUGAGUUACCAAGGUGCUGUUUUCCUCCUCCCUGGC